AUUGAACGCUGGCGGCAUGCUUUACACAUGCAAGUCGAACGGCAGCACGGGCUUCGGCCUGGUGGCGAGUGGCGAACGGGUGAGUAAUGCAUCGGAACGUGCCCAUGUCGUGGGGGAUAACGUAGCGAAAGCUACGCUAAUACCGCAUACGCCCUGAGGGGGAAAGCGGGGGAUUCUUCGGAACCUCGCGCGAUUGGAGCGGCCGAUGUCGGAUUAGCUAGUAGGUGAGGUAAAGGCUCACCUAGGCGACGAUCCGUAGCGGGUCUGAGAGGAUGAUCCGCCACACUGGGACUGAGACACGGCCCAGACUCCUACGGGAGGCAGCAGUGGGGAAUUUUGGACAAUGGGGGCAACCCUGAUCCAGCCAUGCCGCGUGAGUGAAGAAGGCCUUCGGGUUGUAAAGCUCUUUCGGCCGGGAAGAAAUCGGCGACUCUAACAUAGUCGCUGGAUGACGGUACCGGACUAAGAAGCACCGGCUAACUACGUGCCAGCAGCCGCGGUAAUACGUAGGGUGCGAGCGUUAAUCGGAAUUACUGGGCGUAAAGCGUGCGCAGGCGGUUUUGUAAGACAGAUGUGAAAUCCCCGGGCUUAACCUGGGAACUGCGUUUGUGACUGCAAGGCUAGAGUACGGCAGAGGGGGGUGGAAUUCCACGUGUAGCAGUGAAAUGCGUAGAGAUGUGGAGGAACACCGAUGGCGAAGGCAGCCCCCUGGGCCUGUACUGACGCUCAUGCACGAAAGCGUGGGGAGCAAACA
rnacentral:rRNA from 1 species